GUCAUCUGAUGCCAGCAAAGAUGGAGAGCACACAGAGAGGUUUAGCUUGGGGAAAAUUCUGCCCCUACGUCGCAGUAAUUGGGAUUUUUAUCUUGCUUGGCCGGGACUUUGAAUGCACUUGCAAACCACAAGCCUUUGACUGCAACUUGUACCUGGCUCUGCCAUUUUCCAUAAUAUUUCUCUUAAUACUCUGGACAGACAGGUCAUUUCAGAGAGUUUGUAGAUACCUGACCUCAUGUGGCUGGCUUCACACCUGCAAUUUUCUUGGUUCUUUCAUCCAUCACAUCAUCAAGGCAGCUUUCAUAGGUCUGCUGUGGGUUGUGGCAGUUUUAGUCGAUGGAGACUGGUACGUCUGCUGUCUGAACGAUCACUCUGAACAACAGGAACAGUUAGCCUGCAAAGCUGUGGGGAUGAUCACUGAAGAGGAACGAGUCAUCAUCGCAGAACUGAAGAACAUAUCCAGGGUUAUUGGCUCCUUUUUGCUCUUUGGUAUCGUUUGUGUGCCGGCCGUGAUGUCGUCAUUUGGAUGGAGGAAAUGUUCAAGAAAACAAUUAUACGACAAACUGAUUUUGGAGGAGGAAGAAAAUGUACUGAAAGAGAUUUUGAGGAAAUCAGCAAAAGAGAAGUUGACUACAGGAAUCAAGGACAAAAUACGUGGUUUAGAUUGGGAGGAGUGUUUUGAUGUCGCUACAGAACUGAUUAAAGAAUCCACCACACCAAUCGUUUCUGAAGAGGCACAAGCAUCGUAAGAGCAGAGUGUGGAAUCAACAUCUCCCAAUGUCAGAACCACGAGAACCAGCCGAGAACAACAACAUUGAAGUGUUUGAUUGCAAGAUGACAUCUGACCAGCCCAAUGCAUCAGUUAGAUAAUCAUAAACAUAAUGUUUGUAUGUAUAAUGCAUGAUGAUGAUAUAAGUUUUGCUUUGCAAGGAACAGAAGUCAAAUUUUACAUAAUUAUAUUUUCUGUACUUCAAUAUAAUAAGAAAAAGCCAAUCAUGUAGAAUGAUUUAAUUUGUUUUUCUCUUUUAUUAAUUUAAUCAUUUUCAAAAUUGUAUUAAUGCAUAAUAAAUUUAAACAUAUCUGCAUAAUAAAUUUGUUUCCAAAA